UUGCGGGCGACCGCAAAUCUGAAAGAAGCCAUUAGCAAAUCUGCAGUUCUGACGAACAGAAACCAGAUAUAAGGCUCAUUUGAGCGGGCAACCGAGCCAUAGAUUGGGAACGCCCAAAAUUCAACCGUAACUCAACGUGAGUAAAUCAGGCAGAACUCAGAGAAAGUUUAGUAUC
rfam:Petrimonas mucosa isolate ING2-E5A genome assembly, chromosome: I